GACGAACGCUGGCGGCGUGCCUAACACAUGCAAGUCGAGCGGAGAUACAUUGAAGAGCAAUCAGAUAUGUAUCUUAGCGGCGGACGGGUGAGUAACGCGUGGGCAACCUGCCUCAUACUGGGGGAUAACACAGGGAAACUUGUGCUAAUACCGCAUAAUAUCAUUAUAGGGCAUCCUGUGAUGAUCAAAGGAGCGAUCCGGUGUGAGAUGGGCCCGCGUCCAAUUAGCUAGUUGGUGGGGUAACGGCCCACCAAGGCGACGAUUGGUAGCCGAACUGAGAGGUUGAUCGGCCACAUUGGGACUGAGACACGGCCCAGACUCCUACGGGAGCAGCAGUGGGGAAUAUUGCGCAAUGGGGGAAACCCGUGACGCAGCAACGCCGCGUGAAGGAUGAAAGGUCUUCGGAUUGUAAAACUUACUUUGAUGAGGACGAACACAAUAGACGGUACCUCAAAAACAAAGACCACGGCCUAACUAACGUAGCACGCAGACCG
rnacentral:rRNA from 1 species